AUGGCGACGAAAGCGGCGGUGAUCGCCACGGUGCUGGCCCUGAACCUGCUCUUCUUCACCUUGGCCGACGACUGCGGCUGCAAGCUGCCUAGCCCGCCGCCGCCGGCCGGGGGAGGAGGAGGAGGGGGCGGCGGCGGUGGAGGCAAGGGUGGAGGAGGAGGGACCGGUGGCUGCCCGAUCGACGCGCUAAAGCUGGGGGCGUGCGCGAACGUGCUGGGCGGGCUGAUCAACCUGCGGCCGGUGACGACGCCGAAGCAGACGUGCUGCUCGCUGCUCCAGGGGCUGGCGGACCUGGAUGCGGCCGUGUGCCUGUGCACGGCUCUCAAGGCCAACAUCCUGGGCAUCCACCUCAACGUGCCCGUCGACCUCAACCUCCUCGUCAACUACUGCGGCAAGAACGUCCCCUCCGGCUUCCAGUGCCCCUAG
rnacentral:rRNA from 1 species